AUGGUGAAGAGAUGUAGAUUAAUUGUGGCAGUGACUCUGAAUGAGACUGAAGGUGCACAAUUCUUGGGCCACAUCUUGGUUGUCAAAAAAAUGCUGAUACAUUUAGGAAAAGAAACCCCCCACUUGUUUCUUUUAACCAUUUAUCUACACUGGUAUCCAGUCUGUAAUAUAGGAGUUUUGCUCCUUUGCUUUAUUUGGUCAGUUAAGACUUCUUCAACUUUGGUUUCAGAGAAUUUCAAAGUUCACACUCCAUUAAGUCAGGGAGAGUCUAGUUUUGCUGCUGGAUCAUCUCAUCUCAUUCGUAUGUGUGCCGUCCUCAGUCCAACCCCAUGGCAUUAG
rnacentral:rRNA from 1 species